UACGUAGGUGGCAAGCGUUGUCCGGAUUUAUUGGGCGUAAAGCGCGCGCAGGUGGUCCGUUAAGUCCUGUGUGAAAUCUCCCGGCUCACCCGGGAGGGGGCGCGGGAUACUGGGGGACUGGAGGCAGGCAGAGGCCGGUGGAAUUCCCGGUGUAGUGGUGAAAUGCGUAGAGAUCGGGAGGAACACCGGUGGCGAAGGCGGAUCUCUGGGCCUGUCCUGACGCUCAGGCGCGAAAGCUGGGGGAGCGAACAGGAUUAGAA
rnacentral:rRNA from 1 species